CGUUCUGUAAGCCUGCGAAGGUGUGCUGUGAGGCAUGCUGGAGGUAUCAGAAGUGCGAAUGCUGACAUAAGUAACGAUAAAGCGGGUGAAAAGCCCGCUCGCCGGAAGACCAAGGGUUCCUGUCCAACGUUAAUCGGGGCAGGGUGAGUCGACCCCUAAGGCGAGGCCGAAAGGCGUAGUCGAUGGGAAACAGGUUAAUAUUCCUGUACUUGGUGUUACUGCGAAGGGGGGACGGAGAAGGCUAUGUUGGCCGGGCGACGGUUGUCCCGGUUUAAGCGUGUAGGCUGGU
rnacentral:rRNA from 1 species